rnacentral:rRNA from 1 species
UACGUAGGGUGCGAGCGUUAAUCGGAAUUACUGGGCGUAAAGCGCGCGUAGGCGGCUUUGCAAGUCGGGUGUGAAAUCCCCAGGCUUAACCUGGGAACUGCAUUCGAGACUGCAUUGCUAGAGUAUGGGAGAGGGAAGUGGAAUUUCAGGUGUAGCGGUGAAAUGCGUAGAUAUCUGAAGGAACAUCAGUGGCGAAAGCGACUUCCUGGACCAAUACUGACGCUCAUGUGCGAAAAGCGUGGGGAGCAAACAGG